rnacentral:tRNA from 1 species
GGGUCGUUAGCUCAGUUGGUAGAGCAGUUGACUUUUAAUCAAUUGGUCGCAGGUUCGAAUCUUUGAAUAUCUCA